GGAGGCACCCUACGGGAGGCAGCAGUAAGGAAUAUUGCCCAAUGGAGCGAAAGUCUUGACGCAGCGACGAAGCGUGGGGGAUAGAAGGUCUUCGGUUUGUAAACCCCUUUCGGGAGGGAAGAUGGAGUGGGUAACCACUUGGACGGUACCUCCAGAAGCACGCCACGGCUAACUUCGUGCAAGCAGCCGCGGUAAUACGAAGGUGGCAAGCGUUGUUCAGGAUUCACUGGGAAUACAGGGAGCGUAGGCGGUUGGGUAAGCCCUCCGAGAAAUCUCCGGGCCUAACCCGGAAAGUGCAGAGGGGACUGCUCAGAUAGAGGAUGGGAGAGGAGCGCGGAAUUCCCGGGUGUAGCCGUGAGAAGUGCGUAGAGAUAGGGAGGAAGGCCGGGGGGGAAGGCUGCCGGCUGUGGAACAUUUCUGACGGUGAGGCUAGAAAGGGGGGCGAAGCCAACAGGAAUAGAUACCCUGGUAUCCCGCACGCAAAACACUAUGGAUACUAAGUGUCGGCGGUUUACCGCUCGGUGCCGCAGCUAACGCAAUAAGUAUCCCGGCCUGGGAAGUACGGCCGCGAGGUUGAAACUCAAAGGAAAUUGACGGAAAGG
rnacentral:rRNA from 1 species